rnacentral:lncRNA from 1 species
GCCAGGGAGGAACCUGGGCUUCAGGAUUCCCUGGUCGGAGACCGUGCCCCCGGCCCAGGCUGGGUCCGCCUGCCCCGGCUCCCCGCUUCCACAGGACCUUGGGAGUUGCCCUGGCACCCGGCACCUUCCCUCCAGCCCAGCUGCCCUGGCCACUUCCUCUCCACAGCCUCAUGGCAACUGCAGGCCCCAAGCAGGACCCGCCCGAGCAGCUGCCAGCCCCAGUGGCCACACCAGGAGAAGCCCACACGUCCUGCCGCAGGCGGAGCCCGGACGCGCUGUGCUGGCUGCCCGACACCUGCCUGCCCGGCUUCCCGUCCAGACGCUGGACCGUGGGCAGCUGUGAGCUCCUGGGAGGGAGGCUGUGGACCCUCUGCCUGGCCACCCUGCCCCUGUCCUGCUUCUUGGCCCCACCAGCUUCCAGGCCAAUGCCCCGGCAAGUCUCGGAUGAUGAGGAGGAGAGCUCAGACCCUGGGCAGCCAAGGGCCACGGAAGGAAAGGGACAGCUUCCCCCCUGGCUUUGUCCUGGUCUCCAGCAGGUUUGGCCCAACCCGAUGCUUUGGUCACAGCAAGGUAAGGCCAGGGCUUGGGUGGGGACAGCACGGCAUCUGAGACGAGUAGCACUGCAGAGAGCCUUCCUACAAGGGCCGGCCAAAGGCCUGAUGCUCGCCACCAAGGAUAGCAACUGGGGCUCAGAGAGGUCGUGCUACUUGCCGAAGGGCACACAGCCAGCAGCAGGGGAGCCAAGCCUAGAGUUCGGGUCGCAUAACCCCACAGCUCUAGAGUCAGACACGCAGAGCGGUUUCUCCUGCUGUGGUACCAAAUAGAGCCAGGGCCACCCCGCAGAGUUCAGGCAGCUCCGACAAAGCCACUCUGUGAAGAGACCUGCUCCGGGGCCCCGAGCGCCCAGACCCGCCCGCGCCCUUGAGCUCCAGGUCAUCUUAAACCAGUGCCACCGCUCAGUCACCCUGACCCGGUGGGGUCCACAGAUCCACCUCCGCAAAGCAAGUCAAGUAAGCCAGCCGUCCCUUCACAGGGACAGGGACAGGAGAGCACCCCUGAGUGUCCCGGUGACCCGGGCCCAGACAGCUCCUCAGGCUGACCUCCUGCACCAGCCCAACGCUGGCUGCCCAGGGAGCAGGACGCGGGGACAGGGCAGGGAGCCAGUUCCCAGCUGUGGCCAGGCAGGCCCAGCCUCCAGGGGCUCCCCGCCCGGGGAGGGGGCCGGAGGUGGACAAGCACUUGACUCGGCCUCCUUGCUGGUGACCGGUUCCUCCCCUGGUCCUGAGUCUCUCCCAGGUGUGUGGUGGUGCAGGGGUGACCUGCAGGUCCAGCGCCAAGGCCACAGUCGCGACGUGGAGCCAAGAGGAGGCCUCAUCUGCUCUCACCAGAAAAGGGACGCGUGAGCCCAGGCGCCCGAAGGGCCCCGCGCAGCCCUCUGACCCCGGUGGACACCCGACAAGGCGGGUCUUCACCGUCCGGCCCGCGGCCUCGGGUUUUCUCCUGGACUCUUCCGACUGCCCUGCCUGCCUCUGGGUGGACGGCAGCCUGCAGGGCCGCCCCUGCUCCCCUCCCCUUCCCGUCCGUCUGUCCGCCCGGGGGACCUCGGUGAAUGCCUUUUGAAGCUCCAUGAGCAGGUGCAGGACGCCUGGGCCUGCCCCGUCCUGCCCUGUGGGUGCCGGGGCACGCGGGUCGCAGCUCAGGGUCUCGGCCUGCGCUCGCCCCGGGCGCGCGGCCUGCGGUGUCUUUCGGUUCUUCUCUCUUACUCUGUCUCCACGGGAGGUCGCUUUCCGCUGCUGGGUGCUGGGCCUGGUCAGCGGGGUGCUGGGCGCUGCCCCUUUUCCUGCCUCCUUCCUGCCUGGGCUUCUCGGGCCCUGGCCGUGGCUCACGGAUAUUGACGGGGAACCUCCCCGUCUCUGGCUGCCUGAGGAAGCCAGCGUCCUGGGGACAGCUCGGCCGUGCCCUGACUGUCCCCACUCCCCCAGCCCCUUGCUGUGGUGGUGGCCCUGGCCCUGGCCCCAGUCUUCCAGGCCUCCGCUGCCUCCUGUGCCCGCUCCUGUGUGCUCCCAAUUCGCCGAUGGUGGCCUGGCUCAGGACCCAUGCGGCCACUUCUCCUGUCACUUCAAGGGACCUUGUGAAGAGGUGCCUCCGGCCACCCCGUCGGAUCUUCCUACAGGAGCCUGUGAGAACCCACGGACCCAAGACGCCACCUCCCUCCCCGAUGGAGGCCAGGUCCCUGCACGGUGCCCAGGAGGCUUCUGCGUCGGGGUCCUCCUGGAGGUAGGGCUGAGGGCGCGCUGGCCGGGGCCACCCUUCCCAAUGGGCUCCCUGGGGACCAUCCUUCCUAUCUCCCUGGCACCCAGGAGGUCCAGGGGAGUCGCCGGGUGGUAAGGGGCUGUGGGACCCAAACCCGGCCUUCCGUUUCUAAAUCUCAGCUACCCCCACCCCCGGCGGCCAUGGCUGCCAGGUCCAUCACUGGUAUAACCCACGGUCCUGAUUCUAGAACAUUCCACACCUGCCCUCCUCACAGCCUCCUGGAGUCAGGGGCUCCCUGUUUGCCAACAGGGUGGGCCACGGGGUCCGGGAAAAGCUGCUGAGAGCCCACUCACUGUGCCUCAGUGUCCUGACCUGCAACAGGUCAUGGCCCACACUGGCAGGCUAUUGUGAGGACCAAAGGGGCAACCAGGCAUACAGUAGGAACUCAGUACGUGUGCAUGCCCCGCUCCACUUCCUCAAGCCUUGUCACAGACGGGCUCUGCCGCUCUGAGCCCACGUUAAGGAGCCCAGGUUCCAGGUCCUCCCCGAGAAGGACCAAAUGGACCGUCCGACCUACACCUCAGAGUCUGAGGGAGGAGCUCAGCCCAGACCUGGAGCAGGAUGCCUCAGGGCACAGGAGGGGCCGCCCGAGGCUACUCUAUGUGACGGCAGUGUGGUUUGUGGGGGUGCAAGCCCACCCACACCCAUCCAGCGGGGAGCCCUUCUUGAUCCAGGCCAGGUAUGAGCAUCUCCCAAGCUGGUCCAACCAGAGCAAGGUUCAAGGUUUUGUUCAGUUUAGAUCUGUCUUCCUCUGCCAAUGAGGUGUGUAGAUGCAAAGCCUGGGACUUCUGCAGCCACUUGGCUCCAUGAGGCACACAGCCUGACAACGCCAAGACAGGCAGAGCCAGAGAACCGCUGAGCCGCUCAGGCAGAGCCCCGGUCCAACCGCCCCGACUUCCCCGCCGUGCACGCCACUUUGAGCUGGUUUCGUGCCUCCUAAGACAAAAAUCCCCAAAUCACAGGAGCACCCAGGGAGGGCUGCCGCUGGUUCCACUAUCAGCUCGAGGGCUGGACUUGGAAGUCCAACGGCGCUCCUCCCAGUGGUCAAGGUCCAUCUGGAAAACCGAGAGCCCAUCCAUCGGAGGCUCCUUGGCGGUUUUCUGUAGAUGGCAGCUGAGCCCAGAAGAGGGAUGGCCUCCUCCAAGGCCACCCAGCCGGUCAGUGCCACGUUCAGCACCCGGGCCCGGCCUCUGGACUGCAGGCCGCACAGCAUUCCCAAAGGGAGAGCGGCCAGCGGGCCUGCCCAGCCUGACCCACCGACCUGCUGAAGUGAUGCUCCGCAGGCCGCGGGCUUCCCACCUCAGAGUCGCUGGGACCGUGGAGCCGCGUGUCGCGGGGCCGGGCCGCAGGGGGAGCCUGGGGACUGCUCCGCAGGAGGCCAGCGCCCACACGCUGGAAGCAGAUCAGAGCAGCCCGUCUCCCAGGGCCGCGGCCACUCCCCACUUGAGAAGGACUCUGUACCCAUUUCACUCUGUUCCCUUCUCGGUGGCUCUUUAAUGAGAUGAUGUUAGAGCUGGAAGUCCACAGUGGGGGCCGCGCAGACAGACAGACAGACAACCAGCCGGCCUCCUCCUCCCCUCCCCGGAGGUGCUGGGUGGGCAGCAAGAGGGGCCCAGCCACCGACUCCUGUCCCCUAGACACCCCUGGGCUGGGCUUGUGGCGUCUUUGCAGUCACAAUGGGACACAGGCAUCUGCCUGGUUCAGGUGGAGCAGGGGACACCAGAGACAGAAGAAGCCAAGAGGUCAGGACAAGGUCACAGCUAGCGAGAGACAGAGCUGAGGCCUGAAACCCUAGCUCCUGUCCCAUGCGCCCCCAGGAGCUCGCGUCACCCUGGGGACAGACGGUCUCCCGGGGCAGGAGGUCAGCAGGAGCUCAUGGAGAAUCCCCCUCCCACAGGGGGCAGUGGAGAGCCCAGGGCAGGACUGGAGGCCCCAGGGCUGGCCGUGGGGGUGGGGCUGUGUCCCAAGAUCCUUGGGGUCCCACAGCCAGGACCUGCCUCUGCCUCACACCUGGCCACGCUGUCCCCAUGCCUGCCCCACCCAGGUGAUGGGGCUCCUCUGGACGUGGCCCCGCCAGCCUCAGGCUGCUGCCCCGUGGCUCUGUGGCACCGCCGUGGGCAGGUGGCCCACAGGGGGGACUUACUGACUUCUAUGUGGUCGCCCGAGUUUUCUAGAAAAUUGUGGAAAAGAAACCAAUCGUGGCCGUUCAACGUUUCUAAGGUAAAAACAGGACAGGAGGGACAAGCUCCUGGGGGGAGGUCCACGUAAGGGGACGCCGGGCGGUCCUCACAGUCACAUCCACGAGGUGACGCAGAGGCACGGAAGUCAGGGGUUCCUGGCCACGCACGCGCGGGGUCUGCGUGUCUCCUGCGGGGGACGCCCACACGCACACCCCAAGCCCACCUCUGUCUGGGGAGGGAGAGGGACGGCCGGGGGCCCUGGGCCUCACAUUAGGCUCCUGAGCCGACCCUGAGCAGGGGCUCGGCAGAGACCAGGAGCACGCGGGGCUGGUGUGGGGACGGCCACCCAGAGUCACAGCUGAGCAGUGCCUGGAGGACAGUCCCCAAUGUGACUGUCAGGAAGCCGGUCGAGUGACGUGAAAAUUAUUCAGUGUUAAUGAUAAAGAAAAGAGGCACAAAAAAAAUUAAAAAUUAAAAAGAAAGAAAAGAGGCACAGGUGGGCCCCCAAACCAAGGCCAAUCAGGAUGUGGACGGGAGCCGCGCUGUGAAUGCUUCCGGAAGCUUCUAACUGCCCCCGACUGGCGAUCUAUCUUGACCCUGUCUCAAAAUAAAGUAAAAAUGUCUGGGAUGUGGCUCGGGGGUUAAGCGCCCCUGGGUUCAAUCCCUGGUUCCCCCUAAAGAUGCUCCCCACUGAGGGGGGACCUCCCAACAGGGGAAACUGGGUGGGGGGCUCUGUGGGAACCUGCCCUUCCUGCUGGACAUUCCUGUUAACCUAGAAGCACUUUAAGAAAUAAAAUAAAUAAAUAACAGAAACA